GCCUUGAGAAUCCCAGGGACGUGGAAGCCUGGUGGGCUGCCGUCUAUGGGGUCGCACAGAGUCGGACACGACUGAAGCGACUUAGCAGUAGCCACAGUAUACUGUUUUCCAUAGUGGCUGUACUAACUUUACGUUCCCACCAUCAGUAGAGAAAGAUUCCCUUUUCUCCACACCCUCUCCAGUAUUAGUUAUUUGCAGACUUUUUAAUGAUGGCCAUUCUGACUGUGUGAAGUGGUACCUCAUUGUAAAUUUUUGUGUUGUUAUUUAUUUUGACCACAUCAUGCAAUAUAUGGGAUCUUAGUUGCAUAUGAUUAAACUGGUGUCCCCUGUGUUGGGAACAUGGAGUCUUAACCACUGGACCACCAGGGAAGUCCCUACAUGUGGAUUUUUGACUGAGCAGAGGAUCAGCACCCCUAACCCUCAUGUUGUUCAACUAUACUGUGUUUAUAUUGGGGCUUCCCAGGUGUUGAAGAACUCGGCUGCGAAUGCAGGAGACUCAGAGUCCAUCCCUGGGUUGGAAAGAUCCCCUGGAGGAGGGCAUGGCAGCCCACUCUAGUAUUCUUGCCUGGGGAUUCCCUGGACAGAGGAGCCUGGAAGGCUACGGUCUGUUGGGUUGGAAAGAGUUGGAAACGACUGAAGUGACUUAGUAUGCAUGUGCUUAUAUUGAGGAUAUGGUAAGUCCCCUACAAAUGAACAAGUCUCAUGAACAAGUUCCAUUCUGAGAGUGUGUUUGUAAGUCCAGUUAUUCAUAAGUCCAACAAAGUUAGCCUGGGUACCCAAUUAACUAUAUACUCAAUCAACUGUUUAGUACUGUACAAUAAUAGGUUUAUAAUACUUUUUACACAAAUAAUAUAUAACAAAAAAUAAAACAUUUUAAAUCUUAUAGUACAGUACCUUGGAAAGUACAAUAGUACAUUACAACAGCUGGCUUACAGUGGCUGGCAUCUGUCGAGUCCAGCUCGACAGCACAGGUUCCUGAAAGUGCUGCAUGACGUAAGAAUGAGAAACCCUCAAGAAAGUUACAGCAGGGAUCGGGACCAACACCAUCACGAGGUGAAGAUGCCCAAACUGAUCUCAAGUCUGCUUUACUAUACUUUUUGAGACUUGCUUGUACGUGUUUAUAUGAGCAUAGCAAGCCACAUGGCCUUCGGUGAUAAUCCUAUGCAGUUAACAUUUAACAUUUUUGUAUCCCUGUUUUUCUGCCUCAAGGACAAAGAUCCAGUUAAUCUUUAUGUGCUUCCCAGCCGCCAAAGAUAGGAACAAUCUGUUGAUGGCUUUUCAUUCCCAGGCAUACAUCCUACUUGCAAGAUGAUUUUUGUUCCUUCUUGGAUUCCUUCAGGAGUCACAUAUGUCCAGUGAUAAGAUCAAGAUUGGAGGUAGGGAAUCAACUGAAAAACUAUCUUUUGAAAAUGAGAAGUGACAAAGUGUCAUCUUGACAAAUACUCAUAAAAAUCAAAGUGGAAAAUCUACAGAAACACUAAAUAAUAAGAAUAGAAAUUCUGGGAAGCUGAAAGACAAAGGUAAGAAAAUCCUCAUUUCAGAACAAAAAUAUAAGGAUUUAGAGGAAGACUUGUGCAUCAGCUCAGAAUAUGCCAAGUAUGAGAAAAUUUCAAAUGGGAACAGUUUCUUUGAGUGUAGUACAGGUUGUAAAGGGCUUCCCUGGUGGCUCAGAGGGUAAAGCGUCUGUCUGCAAUGCAGGAUGCUCGGGUUUGAUUGCUGAGUCGGGAAGAUCCCCUGGAGAAGGAAAUGGCAACCCACUCCAGUACCCUUGCCUGGAAAAUCCCAUGGAUGGAGAAGCCUGGUAGGCUACAUACAGUCCAUUGGGUUGCAAAGAGUCAGACACAACUGAGCAAUUUCACUUCACUUCACAGGUUGUAAAAACAUUUGUCAGUAGUCAGAUCUUAUUCUUCAUGAGAAAAUGCAUGCCAAAGAGAAACGGAAUGUGUUGAAUAUGGAAAAAGCUUUCAGGGUGAUUCAGCCCUCACUGUACAUAAAAGAAUCCACACUGGGGAGAAACCUUGCAGAUAUGAAAGUGUGGGGGAACGCUUUCAGCUGGAACUCUGCCCUAAUCCAACACUAUAAAAAAUCUACAGUGGGGAGAAACUGUAUGUGUGACUAGUGUUAUAAAGCCUUUAGUGGGAGCUCAGCUCUAUUUUAAUAAACAUAAGGGAAUUCACACUGGAGGGGGACCUAUGAAUGUGAGGACUAUGGGAAAUCCUUUAAGAAAAUCUCAACCCUGUCUAAACACCACUGAAUCCAUAAUGGGGAGAAACCCUUGGAAUGUAAUGAAUGUUGGAAGACCUUCAGUAGCAGGUCAGUCCUUUCUCUGCAUAAAAGGAUACACAAUGGAGGGAAAUCCUCUGAGUUCAGUGACUGUAGGAAAGCCCUUAAGACCAGGAGCUGCCUUACCAUGCAUCAGAAAAUCCACUGUGGGGAGAAGUCUUAUGAGUGCUCUGACUGGCAAUCCCAGUUUAGAUGCUACCUUACAGUGCAUCAGAGGAUCCACACUGGAGAGAAGCUCUGUGAAAGUGCAGAAGUGGGAAGGUCUUCAGUGGGAGUAUAGACUUUACCAAAUGCAAAAGAAUCCACAUUGGAGAAAGAAAAACCCUACCAGUGUGCUGAGUGUGGGAAGGCUUUCAGUUGCAGAUCUGACAUCAAAUAUAAUUUACUAUGGGGAAAAGCCAUAUGGUUGUAACCUGUAUGGGAAGGCUUUGGGUGGGAAGUCUUACUGAACACAAAAGAACCCACAAUGGGGAGAAGCCUUAUGAGUGUCAAGUGUGUGGAAAAGCCUUCAGUUAUAGCUUAGGCCUAAGGCACCACAGAAGAGUACAUAUUGAGGAGAAGCUCUUUGGAUGUAGGGUGUAGAAAGACCUUUCAUCCGAGCUCAGAAUGUAACGUACACCUAUAAGUCCAUACAGGAAAGAAACCAUAUAAAUGUGAAAAGUAUGAGAAAGCUUUUAGAGUGAAUACAGAUCCCAGUGAACAUAAGAGAAGAACACAUAUUGAAGAGAAACUUUCUGAGUGUGAAAGUAAAAAAUUAAGUCCAGUGUUAUUUUUUCAGCCAUAUCCAUAUUUACCUCCCUGUAACAUUUGACACCAAGGAACCCUUAUUUUUUGGGGGAACUUAACCUUAUUUAAUAUUGUAUCCUGCCUCAUGGUAUUUUCAAUUGCUUUUAUCCUCCCCUACUUUUUCCCAUGCCUCUUAAUAACUUCUAAUACAUACUUCAUUUAUAAUGUUUAUUAUAUGUAUUAUCCCUUUCCUUGAAUAUAAACUCCAUGAGGACAAAAAACUUAGUCUCUUGUUUACUGAUAGAUUCAAGGUCACUGGAACCUUGUCUGGUAAAUGUGGUGGUGGGGGGGGCACAGUAAGAUUUUUUUUUGAUUGGAAUGCUUGGUUUCCAUCAUAUACUUUUUCAGGGUUGCCUUUGAAUGUUUACAACUGUUCCUUUCCUCUUGCUUUUGCUGACUCCUUUUGGUUCCCCUGUUCUAAGUUGUGGCUGAGUAUCAUGCUCUAUUCUUUAGGCAGGUGGUCUUAAUUGUUUGUGUCUUCUCCUGACCCUCACUCCAAUCCUGUUAAACUAAAUGAUGCUCUGCUAUCAUCUCUAUGUCAGCAGUAUGUUUACAUAAACCACACACAUGGUAUUUCUGUAUUCAUGGGGUCAUUUCAAGGCAGAUGGUGAAAUGGAAAAAAUAAAUACCUAAUGUUUA